GCCGAAGCCGUGUUUUGAGGUCUCUCUUUAGGCGGCCGCUUUUUCUGUUUUUGUUUUGAGCCCUCUCUCCCAGCUCUCUCAGUUGCAGCAGCAGCAGCGGCAGCAACAGAAGCAGCGCAGCAGCGUCAGCGGCUUGUUUGGCGGGUGCCUUACUAAUUCCCAUCCCCAAUAUCGAAUUCCCAGAAGUUUCCAAUGCCAGUUGCCUGAAUGAAUAUUAAAAUGCCUCUUUCGAAGCGCUCUUUUCAGGGUUUUCGAACAUCACUCAUACGCACUGUUGUUUACAACUUGUUUCGAGGGUCAAUCGGAAUACGUGACUAAGGGGGGAACUUAUCUAGAAGCUACUAAAUGUCCAUGGAUCAAUUAAGUCGAGUCAUCGAGGAAAUCAUGCCCUCCUAAGUGUGCGCGCUCGAGAGAGGGAGACAAAAACUUGGCCAAGUGCAGUAGGCCAUGCAAAUAGCCAAAGUGGGUCAGCUAUCAAAAGCUAUAUCAACAUCAACUAUGGCUGCCACCACACAAAAAACCGAAAAAAACAAAAAACGAACAAAAAAGCUUCGUCGUCACUUCUUCGGAUCUUUUCGGAUUUCGGUAUCAGCUCAGGGUAUUAUAGUAUAUACUAUGCCAGAUAAGCCGACGCGGCGACAAAAAACCUCCCAACACAAAUUGCUGAGCCUCUCUCUUUCCUCGGAGCUUAUCUCUAAAAGUGCGUUUUGUGUCCCAUUUACCUAAAACUGUAAGUUUUUCUAUUUUUUUUUUUUUAAUAUUUUAUAUUUUCUUUCCUCAGAGCUUUGUAGAAAAAAGCUCACAUACGGUUUAUUUUUUACUGUUUUUUUUUUCAUUUUUUUUUCAUUUUUUUUAGUUUGCAUUUGCUUGCAUGACGAAUGGAAAAGCUUUUCAAGUUUCUGUAUGGCGCGUGUUUCUUUUUUGAUUUUUCUGUAUCUGUAUCUUGUAUCUGAUUCGGAGGAAUCUGUAUCUGCAUUUGCUAUCUUUUGUCCGCUUCUGGCUUGUAUCUGAGGAUCAUUUAAAAGUUCCUGUUUUAUUUGCUUACGUUUUUGUUUUUGUUUUUUUGUUUUUGCAGUUGGCGCCAGUGAACUAUGCACCCACACGAGCGCAGAAACACACAUGCAAGCUGCAAAAGCUUGCGGCGGGCCGGCAAAAGCUUUC